rnacentral:lncRNA from 1 species
AUCUAGGCAUUUUACAAGGACUAGGCAUUUUGGAAAACUACAUGGCUAAUUAAGGACAUUCAGUUUAAAGCUAAUCUAGAUGUCCUAAUUAAAUUACGUCCAUUUUUGCGGCCAAGGAGGAGGUGGAAUGAGAGUAGGAGGUGUAAUUAGAAGAUUAAGAGGUGAAUUAAAUAAAGAGGAUGUGUCAAUUAAUUUUCAUGCAAGGAUCUCUAUAAAUAGGCAACUUCAAUUAAUGAAUUCUCACAACUUACUCGUGCCAUUUCUUUCAAUUACUUCCAAAAAUUUCAAAAUUGUGUCUAGUUUACUGAGGAGGGCUGUUGAGAAAUUUAAAGGAAAGAAGGUUGACAUUUUGAUCAAAAGAAGGCGAGAGGGUCAUUCUAAAGGAAAAACUAAGGAAUGGUUCCAUAAGGCUACAAAGCUCGUCUUUUGGAAUUUGGUUCUGACAUUUUGAGGUAAGAAAGUUAAGACAUUUUAUAGCAACUUUUUUAUAGUGAAGUUUUGUCAAAAAAAAAGAAAAAGUUAUAGAUUUAAAGUUAUGAUUUUUUAAAGUCGGGUCAUGUUUUUGGACGAAAAAUUAGGUUUUGGGCAGCGACUGAGUGCCAUGCAUGUUUAGGUGAGAUAGGCGUAAUUUUGUUUCAUAUAGGAUUUUGGGCUUAUUUUGAGGUUCACGACAAGGCCAUGACAUGACUGAGAGGCAUGACAUGCGCUCAGGCUACACACAUGACUUUACGAGAUAAGGUUAGUGUGCAAGACUGUGUGUACAACACAACGCGUGCAAGGCAUGCGAUGGACGUGCUGGGUUUGCAGCUAGGACUUGCGCAACAUCCCUCAUUGUGAGGUUAGCACGUGGUGUGCGGUUCACCUCAAUGAGGUUAGCACGCAGCAAGGCCUCCAGGCCAUGCAUGCGUCUAGCCUUAAACAUCAUGUUAGUGAGCACCGAAGGGCUAUUUUUGAGAAUUUUAAGAAAAUUUUGGAUAGUUUCGUGAUCAAAGGAUUAAAUUUGGAUUUGUCAGAUCAAAGAGGUUUUGGAGUAACUUUUCGAUCAAGGAUUCGUUCAACUACUGUGAGUAACACAAUAAUUUAAAAUUGAUUUAUAAACCAUGAUUUCCAAGCUAUUGUUAAAAAAUAUGAUUUAUGAUAAAUGUUUAUUAAACUGAUGUUUCAAACUAUACUAUGUGUGAGUGAUUUACUGAUGAAAGCAAAGAAAAUGUUUCAAUGUUUUCAAUAUGUUUUCUCCUAGCCUGAAUAUUCUAUGAGACCUCUUAUAUACAUGUAGUUAACUUCAUACUGAUGGUAGGGUUGACGAGUCCAUAGUUUAUGGGUCAUUAGGAAGGUUAUAUAUUUAUAUCUUAAAGGAAGAGGAUUACAGUGAAAACUAUUUCCCAUUGACUGUUUCGUCUUUGGACGAAGAGGUUUAAUAUUUCUUGUGGCUUGGAUCAUUGUCUUCUAAAAGCUAUAUAAAAGUUCAAUGUUUCAAGUAGUGGUGUAAACGAGUUGGGUUGGGAAACAUUCUCAACCCAACCCAUUUUUUUUGUUUCUAAAUUUUAAUGUUUGUAAAUGGAAAUCAUCAAGCAUAAAUCAAAUAUGUUUUGCAUCAAGUUUAAGAAAAAAAAAACCCUUGAAACUCAUAAGAUCGCUUUACUUUUAUUAAAUAAAUAAUAUAUAUGUAAUAUUAAUUCGGGUUGGGUUGGGUUAACCCGAAUUUUUCAACCCUCCAAUCCGAGAUCCAACCCAAUUCGAAAAAAGUUAAAAUUUUCAACUCAACCCAACUCACAUUUUAAACUAACCCAACCCAAAUAAUAUGGGUUGGAUAGUCUAAGUUGUUAGGUUACUCGGGUUAUUCUUACACCCCUAGUUUCAAGCAUCAUGUUAUGAAAUGAUUGUUUAUUGAUAAAUAUAUUUGAGCUUCAGUUUUAUGUUAAAUUGUUUAUGAACUUAUUUUAUAAAAUUGUUGCUCACUGAUAACUUGUAAAAAUACAAGUUAUUGAAGUCUCUUUUAUAGAAUAAUAAGGCCAAAAUGUAGAAAAAUGUAUCAAAACGCGUACAUUAUGUUGAAAAUGCAUAAGUACUUAAAAAUAUACUUUACAUAAGUGUUAUGCUUGUUUUACGUGAUUUUCAGUGUUUAAAUGCAAGUCUAUGAACAAAAGAAGAAAUUAGCAAAUUGUAGAGUCUCUCGCGAGAAGAAUAGACAAGAAGACCAAAUCACAACUCGAGAAGCGGUUUGCUAGAUGACAAGAAUGAUACUUGAAGAUGAUGUGACAUGCCACAUACCGCUUUCAGUGUACAACGCUGAAAUGUUUAGAAAAACAGAAAUUUUCCGCCAAAAGCUGUCUAUAAAAUCUUUCCUUCUUAACCAAAGAGAGGGGGGGUCUGAAUGGACCAUGAAUGGCUAGACAUCUGAAGAGACCAGCCAAAGGCCUGAAAAGGCCAAACCCUAGAGAGUGGUGGAAGGAAAUAACUUUUCUGUCGUCUGUAAAAAUCCUUCUUCUUCUUUGAUCAGUUGUAAAUGUGAGAGCUUGGCUCCUGAGUAGAGAAGAAUCCAUAUUCCCUUUGUCCCCUAACUUGUAAUAUUUUUCAUUAUCUUUUUUCUCAAUUUUUAUACUUCGGUGUAAUAUAUAUUGUUCAUAUUGUACAAUGGCCAAAGUGUUGAGAUUUAUGUCCUAAAACUUGUAGAUUGUAAAUAUAAUUCAUUGAUCGUUA